AACGUAGGAGACAAACGUUAUCCGGAUUUACUGGGCGUAAAGGGCGUGUAGGCGGUUUCGUAAGUCUGGCGUGAAAUAUCUCGGCUUAACCGAGGCAGGUCGUCGGAUACUGCGGGACUAGAGGACGGUAGAGGCGUGUGGAAUUCCGGGUGUAGUGGUGAAAUGCGUAGAGAUCCGGAGGAACACCAGUGGCGAAGGCGACACGCUGGGCCGUACCUGACACUGAUGCGCGACAGCAUGGGGAGCAAACAGG
rnacentral:rRNA from 1 species